AAAGCGAGGCGGUCUUUAGCUUGGUUUAUGGUUGGUUUGUUUGCUGUGACAAAUGAGACUCAGGAGGGAAUAGGGUUGGAAGGCUCAGUGCUAAGAAGCUCAACAUCUGCUCUUGUUAAAAACUUCUCAUAAACGGCACAAAGCAUCAAAGGAGGAAGGGGUUAAGGAAACCUCCCUGGAUGCAGAAUGCUGUUGUGCCCCUCCUGGGCAGGGCCCUCCAGCUGCAGUCAAUCCUUGGGAACGGGAUAUAAAAAGGAAGCCCUCACCUUUACCAAAGGAAAUGAGAGUCAGCUUGGUCAGGGACCUUCCUGGAGGCAGCAAACAAGCCAGGGCUUAUUGAGGGUCAUGCUCUCUGCAGAGCUCUGGCAUGGCUGUGGUGAACAGUGGUGUGGGAUGUCUUGCAGUGACUGCUUGGGAUGACUCCUUACACUGAAAAGGCACCGUUACAACGGCCCUGCUGUACCUGAGUCAUCAGGGACUCUACCUUCUAAUUAGCUAGUCCUGAACCAUACCCAGUGCUUGGGCUGUCCUGCACUGGAGGUACAAGGACUGCUCUAAAACCAAGACGUAGGACUGCUUCCAUCUCAGCCCAUUACCUUGAGCACAACACCAGCAGGGAUCUGUUUCUCUUUUGUCUCUGGAUCUGCCUCUGAGGGGAAUCCAAACUCCUAAACAACUUUAAAAGAUGGCUGUGGCUUGCUGCCAUAUGGCAGCUCAUUUACCCUGUAAGGCAAAGAAGGACUCGAGCUGUGCCACAGACGAGGCAGCUGUGCCUGGCUGCUGAAGCUCCCACUACAGCCGGCAGAGAGAGAGGCAUCUCCUGGGGGCGAGUUGGAUCUCAUUUGGUGCUGAAACAAUUCUGGUGAUGGCCUGAACCAGACCACAGAGUACGUGCUCCGUGAGGCUGUACUUGUCUUUGGCUGUUAAUCUGCUGUGAGUGACCUUCUUACACUGGAAGCCCAUGAAAACCACCUCAAGGUAAAUAUCACAGAACCCGCACUGGUGGCCUGCAGCUUCCCAGACGUGUCUGAAACAUGUAGCAGUGAACUAGCUCUGAACGCUGGCUUGCAGGACAAGCUGCUGCUGUCAGGCUGACGACGGAGUGAGAAAGAAGCUGGAUUCUAAACUUGUGGGACUCCUCCAGCUCCAUGAAAGUACUGCGGGUGGCUCAAACUUCUCUGAGGCUGCAGCUCGCUCUAAAGGCUGCUAUGCACAGGGCAGUAAACAGAGCUGCUCCUCUCCUGAUAAGGGAACAGCGGAGACAGAUGCCAUCUCUGCAGCAGCCAUACGCAGAAUCACUCACUCAAAGCAGGCUGAAGUUCUUUAACGUAGCUAAAGCUGUCAGCCACUGCUCAGAAAGAAGA